rnacentral:rRNA from 1 species
UACGUAGGGCGCAAGCGUUGUUCGGAUUUAUUGGGCGUAAAGGGUGCGUAGGCGGCGGAGUAAGUUGGGUGUGAAAUCCCGGGGCUCAACCUCGGAAUGGCAUUCAAUACUGCUUCGCUAGAGUACUGGAGAGGAGGCUGGAAUUUACGGUGUAGCAGUGAAAUGCGUAGAUAUCGUAAGGAAGGCCGGUGGCGAAAGCGAGCCUCUGGACAGUUACUGACGCUGAUGCACGAAGGCCAGGGGAGCAAACGGG